GCACACAUGAACAAAAUAAAAAACAUAUAUACUUUUGAGUCUAAUAAAACGAAUCAGUAAUGGGAAAAAGGUUGUGGAGUGCUAAUAAUUAAUAUAUAGAUAGCUAUGCACCCAUCUAAGCGUGCAUAUGCAAUUAAACGACCGUGUUUCUGGGAAAAAAAAUUACAUGCCUAUUCUAUAUAAAAUACCCAUUUUCUCUCUCCUCUAACCUCUCACCAUUUUCUGAAUCAUCAAAAACCUCUCACUCUCUCUCUUCCAUUGAUGUCACUCCUCUCUCCUCCCAAACAAUCCAGCCUCCUCCACUCCAAUUUUCGUCGCCGCCGUCGAUUUUCUCUAGAUACGACCAAACAACCGCGCCACCUCCCAAGCGAGCCACCGCCUUCUCCGCCACCGGCUAACGCCUUCUCCGAACACCGACAAACGCUUCUCCGAACGUCGUCGCUAACGCCGAAGAAAUCUGACCUAAAAAUAGUUAGCCGACAGUUAAAGGCCUUGGAAAUGAUGAACUCUAUGAAAGUAAUCUAGCUUCUGUGUGUAAGUUGUAAAGGAAGAAAAAGUUCAAUAAGAAUGCGACAACAAAAGAAGAAGGCUGAUUUAGAAAUGGAAGAUAUGGUAUUAAGAGAGGCUGUAAGAAUUGAAGAAGAAUUGAAGGCAGGAGCAACCAAAAAAGAAUCUACAAAUAAGUAAGAAAAAUAAAGAGAAAAGAGAUCGUUGUAGCGAAAAAAGUGGAAGCCGAAAGGAAGGAAGCUGAAAAAUUAGAAGCCUAGAAAGAGAAGAGGCAACAACCACUAAAAUAGAGGAUGGAGAUAGAAAAUAAAUGUCAUGUUCAUUUUCUGAACAUGAAUGUUCAAUUCAUUAAAUUACUUUAAAUGUCCAUUUGUUUGUUCUUUAUGUGCGCUUCCAGCUUACUAAAAUAAUGAGAUGUUUUUUUCUAGAAAACCUGUGUAAUAAAAAAAUUUAAAUUUAAAU